UGGGCUGGUCGUAAGACCAGGGUCCCUCAAUUUGCGGGUAAGACACCC
ncrna:unclassified sequences DTF3800-XI RNA